rnacentral:rRNA from 1 species
UACGAAGGGGGCUAGCGUUGCUCGGAAUCACUGGGCGUAAAGCGCACGUAGGCGGACUCUUAAGUCGGUGGUGAAAUCCUGGAGCUCAACUCCAGAACUGCCUUCGAUACUGGGAGUCUCGAGUUCGGGAGAGGUGAGUGGAACUGCGAGUGUAGAGGUGAAAUUCGUAGAUAUUCGCAAGAACACCAGUGGCGAAGGCGGCUCACUGGCCCGAUAUUGACGCUGAGGUGCGAAAGCGUGGGGAGCAAACAGG